UCAAUCAACAAGCUUUUCUGGAUAUAUGCCUCAAGAAUGUGAACAAAGUUUUCAAACACCGGGAGUCUCAUUAUAUGUGCCUCAAUACUCAUUUGAAGUUUCUUUUACCUCAAAUGUUUUUGAAGGACACUCACAAAUGUUUGCUACCACUUUCAACACUCUGCCAUUUGUAUACAACCCACCACCAUCGAGUUGUUGUUAUCAUCCAUCAUUACCUACCAUAUGCAUAACAUGGGUCAUGAGAAUGAGGAGGAAGAUGAUGAUAACACCAAUAAUGAUAAUGGCGAUGAUGAUGGUUAUGGUGGUGAUGAUGUUUCUCAACAACAACAAACGGUUAUACGUGAUCAUCCUAGAACAAUAAGAGGAAGAUGUCAUAAAAUAAGAGAACAACAACCACUAACAAAUCAAGUGCAACAAGAUAGAAGACCACAAC
rnacentral:lncRNA from 1 species